CAGAAAGGUGCUCCUCGAACUCGCGAAAACUCGGGCCUCGACAAUCCGAAUUAUCGCAGCUCGGAGCACCUUUCUUCUUUAUCGACCCGACCCGCCAACCACAUCACCGUGAAAG
rnacentral:sRNA from 1 species